rnacentral:ncRNA from 1 species
AUACAUUAGCAUGGGAUAACAUCAUAGGAUUUCGAUCCUAUUGUGUUGGCCUUCGGGAUCGGAGUAAUGAUUAAUAGGGACAGUCAGGGGCAUUCGUAUUUCAUAGUCAAAGGUGAAAUUCUUGGAUUUAUGAAAGACGAACAACUUCAAAAGCAUUUGCCAAGGAUGUUUUCAUUAAUCAAGAACGAAAGUUGGGGGCUUGAAGACGAUCAGAUACCGUCCUAGUCUCAACCAUAAACGAUGUCAAACAGGGAUCAGCGGAUAUUGCUUUUAGGACUCUACCGGCACCAUAUGAGAAAUCAAAGUCUUUGGGUUCCGAGGGGAGUAUGGUCGCAAGGCUGAAACUUAAAGGAAUUGACAGAAGGGCACCACCAGGAGUGGAGCCUGCGGCUU